rnacentral:miRNA from 1 species
AAGAGCCGCUGCGUGGGGAGGAGAGAGGGACAGAGUGCCGGCGUGUGUAAAGGAGCAAAGCCGGCGCGGAGAGGAGCCGCUUACACGAGUGUAAGCGGCUCCUGUCCGGUUGGCUCCUUUAAAGCAAGCAGGCUCUCUGUCCCUCUCUCCUCCCCACUCAGCUUG